rnacentral:lncRNA from 1 species
AGUUCACCUCCAACUCCCAACUUUGACACUAUGAAAAAUAAAAUUUUCCAUCACAUCAAACUUGCGGUACAUGCAUGAAGUACUAAAUGUAGAUGAAAUUAAAAACUAAUUGCACAGUUUUGUUGUACUUUGCAAGACGAAUCUUUUGAGCCUAAUUAGUCAAUAUUUGGACAAUAAUUCACAAAUACAAACGAAACGCUACAGUGCGCUAUAGUACUUGUAACAGUAUUUUGACACCUCCAAAUUUUGGCAACUAAAGCCUAGGCUGCCGGCUGCAGGCUGGGCUCCCGGUUUUGAGGAAAUCGUACAGCGACGGCACCUGUUUCCGCUGCCUCUGUGGGCGGGAGCCAAUACCAUGGGCGGGUUUUGGAUUUGGUCCCCACCCUCUCUCUCCUCGUUGUCCAGCCGCAGGAAAGUGAAGAUCUCUCACACGUGUCCUCCAUGUUUCUGGCUCUUCCAGGUCGCCACGAGUCUCGUGUUUGUCUGUUGGGAUCCACAAUAGACUAAAACUUGAUAUUCUACCGUAUUAACAAAAUUUGUUAGGAAUUAUAUAAGAUAUAUAACGCUAUUUGUUUUUUUAGAAUGGCAUUGCAUGCAACGCCAAACGAAGGACGUGGUUUUCGGGUUUUAAGCAAGACAAAUUUUGUAGCAAGUAAAAUGAUGCUUCCUCUGGACCUGUUCGGCUGGACUUAUAAGCCGGCUGAAAAGCUGAAACGGCUGAUUUAUUGUGAGAGAAAAAUACUGUUCGGUGGCUGAUAAGUCCUAUCCAUAUUUGAUCGGCGUACAAGCGGAAGAUCAUCGUACAAAUAGGAAAACUCCAAAUUUGAUUAUCACAUUCCAUGUGGAUAGCACGUGUUGGCUUUGCAUGGGGAUUCUAUGCACAUGACGUUUGAAUGUGGAUUUAAUGUGCAGUGCUUUGAAUGGCGAUUAAAACACAAGGUUAAUGUGACUACAACAAAGCUGAUUAAAUGGAUUUUAGCGGGAAGUUUUUUUUCCUCUUCUUGUUCUUGGUGAAGCCUACAAAUAGCAGGUUCACUGGAUAUUAUAGAGGGAGUGUUAAUGUAAGAUUCCAUUAAAAUAUUUUGACAAAUUAAAAAUUAGAUUCGAUCAAGAAAAAUAAUAGGCAGUGUCUAUUUAUCUGUGAUAGAUUUUUAGGGGUGAAAUCUGUUGAAUUUUAUGAUAUUGCAUAUGUUAUUUUCUAAUGUUGCGAAUGUUAUUCUCCCAUACUGCAUAUGACUAAAACAUAAAGUACUAUGCAAUGUGCAAGAACAAUACAUUGAAACGUACUAAAUAACAUAUGUAACAUCAGAAGAAAUCUGACACAUUUCCUCCCCUAAAAUUAUAAAAUAUUUUGAAACAUCGAAAAAUAAUGUUUGCAUCAAUAAAUGACAACACUUGCAACAUCAAAAAAUUCGACAGAUUCCAAAAAUAUGUAGACGGACAAAUAGCAAAACUCAAAAAAUAUAUAAAUCAUUUCUAUUUCACGAUGUUUAUCUGGUCUGCAAAUCUUAGGAUACUGGAGAACUAUCUAAAAAAAUUAUAGUACGAAUUCCUGGUUUAUCUUGGAUGGAUGAACAAUUGUUCUAUCAAAAUAGUUACUUCCUCCGUCAUUGAAUAUAAAUCAUCCAGGCAUUUUAAAUUUAUCCACAAAUUAAAUACAAGGAACUCUAUUACUAUAGACACAUUUGGAUAAUUGCUCAUUUAAUUCUUCUCAAGGUUAACCGAAUAAUUUUGGUUGAUUGAUUGAUUAAAACAACCAAAACACCCACAUCAUAACUCAGAAUACAUGCGUCUUUUACUAGAAUUACUAAUCUAUUCUGAAAUCUCUAGAAUGCCCUUUAUUUCAUAAAUGAGGGAGUACAAAUCUAACAUAAUUCUAUUAAAAUAUUUACCUAUUUCUACGUCAUGAAUCUAUGCAACAUCAAUACGGAUACAUCAGUAUGAACCAAUAUGAAUACAUGGUACAUCAAUUUUCUAAAGCUUCGUUUGGAUGUAGAUAUUCAACCUCGGAAUUGGGAAUUGGCAUUGGAACAUCAGAAUGCCAACUGUUUGGAAGUCAUGGAAUUUGGAAUUGUAAAUCAGCUCCAAUACCAACUGGGAUUCUUCACAUGCUCACCCUCCUGCCCCCAAUACCGAGCUCCCCUCCCACCCCCCUCCCCCACGUAUUGACUGGAAUUGUGCUCACCCGUCCCCCACGCGCUGCCGCUCCCCUGCUUCCCUCAGCAGUGAAUUGCGCCACCCCUCCGCCGACGAGCCGUCCCCGCGCCCUCCCCUGCCUCCCUUCGCCGCGCCCUCCGCGCCCCUCCGUGACUCCCUCACCGGAUAUUCCAUGCUAUGGAUAUCCAAACACAAAUUGGAUUUGCCACUCAGUUGAAUUCCCUCUAGCAAUUUCAUCAACAUCCAAACAAUAGAUUUGGUGUUAUAUCCAUUUCCAAAAUCCAAACAAUAGAUUUGGUGUUAUAUCCAUUUCCAAAACCAGUCUUGUUGGGGGGAAAUAUUAACGACCCCCUAAUGCGCUGCUCAAAGAAACAAACAUAAAGGCCCAGGCCCACCGAAGUGUGGUCAAAUCUCCGCCUCGCCCGACCCCGGCAUCAGGAUCGGGAGCGCCCGACCUCCCUCCGCAAGAUCUCCGCCUCGACCGACCGCGGCCCCAGGGUCGGGAGCCCCCGACCCUGUACCACGAAAGUUCCGCCUCGCCCGACCUCGAGCGAGGGAGUCGGGCACGUUGAGGCCCACGGGUCAGAAUCCUCCUCGGAUACGCUCCGCAUAGACAGACAAAUCCUGUGGGGUCCCCCAUCGGCCUCCCCAUAAAUGCGCCGCAGAGAAGGCAGAGCGCAGGGCGACCGCGCCCCCCACGCAACCCGGCGCAAGUACCCGCGCACGACCCUCCUGUACGAGCUACAGUACUGGCGGCCAGCUCCUAUUCGUCACAAAGCACUCAUGACCUGCGGCGACUGGAGGUAAGCUAGGAGCAGCCCCGUCCUCGGGUCCCGCACGCCCUCGGACCCCGCGCGAACAGUGGCACAGGUGUGAAGCUCCCCGUCUCUACAAGCUAUCACCGGAGCGGCGGUAUCCACCGUCCUCCAAAACGGACAGCAGGGUGACGACGAAAUCCCCUCAUCAUGACCUAUCCUGAUACCUACGAACGUCGAAACAGCUACCUGCGAAGAGCUGCAACACUUGGCAUCCGGCAGCCACCCCUUCGGACAUGCACGGCGGCACGCGUUCAGGGUCGGCAAGACGUCGGGCGCCAGGGGCCUCUGACCCCUUCCCGCCAGACCUUUUUACCAUCUCACUCUCUACUUUUUACCCGGUUCCCAAUUGUAACUCCGGCCGGCCCCUUGCGAUAUAAAAGGUGGAACCUAGAGCCGGGGGAGGGGGAUCGAUCAAUCGAAAAACAGAACAAGAGAACCAGGCUUCUCCCAAGAACACAAAACAAAGAGACCUGGGACCAGUCCCUCUCUCGCCCGUCUGUAACCCCCUACUACAGAAUCCCCGCGCGGGCAACACGAACAUCCCCGAUACUGGACGUAGGGCCCCCUUUGCCCGAACCAGUCUAAUCCGUGUCUCCCGUGCAACCAUCUGAGGCUCACACGCAUAAAAGAAAUUUACUAGUCUAAGUCUUGAUCCGCUGAUCUUGACAACGACAAGUCUGAUUUGGUAUUCAACUCAAUUCAAUCCUAAGCCCUCCAUAUUUCUAAAUUCAAACACAACCUUAAAGAUAUUAAGAACAUAAAGUUGUAUCGGAGUAUCAGAUAUAGAUACGUAUCUGAUACGUAAUACGGAUCAUGUUAAAGUACGGAGGUAAUAUAUUGUCAUGUACUUACAUAGGCCAGACAAACAUUUUGAAACGGGGUGGCAUAUAAGCCACUUUGAUUGGGUUUGCUCGGGAAACAAAAAUAUUAAAUCAAAUAUAGACUUGAGCAUAUAAAAUCCAAUCCAAGUCCCGCCUGAUUUUGUAUAAGCUUCAUGAAGCCUAUAGAGUUUUGUGGGCGUGGAUAGAGAACAGUUUGUUGUCCCGACAAAAAUCAAGCCAAUAAAAAAUACUUGUCGAUGAGACUCGUGUGCAGUAGUAAUUCACAUGUUAGCCUAACUUCACACACGUCAGUGACUCAUACGCAGAGAGUAGUACUGUAGAGGAACGGCUUCCAACUUCAGAUACUUCCACUCCACCGAUCCCGUGGAGUAGAUGUCUAGAUGGACAUGGAGGCAUUUUCUACUUGUCUACAUCAGGCCAUAAUCAGCUUAUAUAUUUUUACUAUAACAGUUUAUUUCACACAAGCUUCGUAGAAAACAGUUUAUUUCUAUAGGAUCGUGAGCUCCUAAAAACGCAAAUGGUGAAUUGCGUUGGCUGAUCUAGGCAUCUAGCCGCCCACUGAUUCAACUCGGAGACUCCCUCAAGUCCAAACGCAUCAAAGGUCACGGAUACCAAGGUUCCUUGAACAGAACCGUCAAUUCAGAGUAUAUGAUAAAUAUUCCACCGAUUCAUCUGGGCAGAUGAUUUCCUUUUUCUAAAAGAAAAAAGAUGGCUCCAGCGAGACCUGAGGAGGCAGACACCGUCGGUCCUCUCUCUCAGCACUGGACGCGCUGCAGUGCCAACCGGCGUGGCGUGGGCGGUGCAGCUGUUUGCACGACUGGACAAGAAGCCAAACCACUGACUGCCUCUGGCAUCCACAGACCACAUUUCCACGCCUGCUCGCGACCGACCGACCUCCCAACGGCUCCCAUUUCCGCGGUUUUUUCCAUGCAACUUGGAAUGGAAUUGGCCUCCAGGAAAUCCAAACCCAGCCACGAUGGACCACCUGAUUUCAUUUGCCAUUAGUGGGAGACUAGAUUGGAUGACCCAGCCUGUUCGCUUCAGCUUAUAAGCCGGCCGAAAAGCUAAAACGCUGAUUUGUUGUGAGAAGAAAACACUGUUUGGUGGCUGAUAAGCCGGCUUAAUAAGCUGAAGCGAACAGGCCAAGCUAGGCCACGGGAAAACUUUUAAGCUAGUUGGCCACUUGCCCGGACCAAUUUAAUCCAUGGGCUCCGCAGGAAGAGACGCGGGUGUAUAAAAUUCAUGGUGGUUAAGCUCCGACAAAAUCCUUGGUUUGGACGGAGAGAAUCUAGUGAUCGAUCGCUGAGGGCACGUUCAACAGUUUAGACAGCUGCCAUCUGCAAGUCACAUAUCUAUAUAAAGAUCUGUCUUUUAGAUUUUCUGCGAAGUAUUUAAUCCAUUCGUAUCAUGGUGAUCAAGUGUAAAUUUGAUCUGUGUAGCCUCAAGGGCCGCUCACUUGUCAAGCCGUUCAGCUAGCAAAGCAGAUCUUUUCCUUUCUAUCUUAUCCUUUCACAUGACCGGAUGAGCCCAAGGCCACCCAUCUUCUCCGUUCCUCAUCUCUCUCUCGUGUCCUUGGUUCCUCACGCAUCAUGGAGGGGUCGAGCUCAAGGACCUCAAGGCACGGCCCCUCUCUCGCCAACUCUCUCAUGGCCGCGCUUAGUGCUUGGUGCUUCUACAGGUGGCGGUGCGACGCAACGUCCGGCGUGGCGCGGGAGCGAGGGUGCGCGGGGUGCUGCCGGCGAGCUAGGCAGGCUGCGACGGCCAGCUUCUGCGCGAUGGCGGACAGCUCCGUGGGUGGCAACGGCAAGCAACUGAGAUGGGCGGGAAGCAGCGACGAGCAGCUUCGCGCCAUGUCUCCUUCCCACGUCGAUUUUGCUGUAGGGGAUCGAGCUUCAGCUUCGUCUUAAACAACAGCGUCAUACAACGGUGCUGAAGCCGUCUGUUUGCCUUGGGAGCACGAGCUGCGGCCAUCUCUUCGCGAGAUGACGGCGCAGCUGUCUCUCACAGGCCCGUUCCUGAGGGUGUGCGGCCCGUGCUACUGCACAGGGUCUCCAUUUUUUGGGGCUUCCAUUUUUCAGGCCUACAGCCCAUCAUGCCCACCAAAUUUCUGGGCCAAAAUUUAUUUUUCCUAGUCAUCGAUUCACAGAAGAAAGGGCGAAGCCCAAAGGCCUGGGCGCCUGGCUCCUUUUUCCCAUCGCGCGUUGUCCGCUCGUCUCCCGACUCCGCGGCUUCCAAAUUCCAAUUCCAAUCUCGUCUAGGGACUAGGUUAAGUUGCGCUGCCCGCCCUUCCGGCCGCUACUACUGCAGUACUGCUAAGUGCUAAUCGCCUAAUCCUGUUCUGCUAGUCACCGCGUGAGGCCUUCUGGAGUUCUGGUUCUGGUAAUCUGGUCCCUGCGGACGGGAGUGCUACCAGUGCUACGAGACAGGGGCCCUGCUACGAGACUAGGACAAGUUCACAAGUCACAAGGUAAUAUACUAUAAUACUAAUAUUAAUUAUUUUCUUUACUUGAUCGAUUCUACUUCUUCCUUCACAUGGAUUAGUGAAUCAAAAUUUUCUUAUGUUUUGUAUACAUGUGCAUGAAUUGGUCUAGAUCAAAGCCAUGUCUUCUGCAAAUCAAUCUAGAAAAUUUGAAUCAGAUUAUCAAAAGCGUAAGAAAAAACAAAGGAUGGAAGAAUUAACUCAAUCUCAAAAAGGAGCUAUGGAUAGAUUUAUUAGAAAAUAAUCGCGAGUGUCCUCCAAUAAUCAGACAAUUGAUCAGAGUCAUCCAAUUGAUGAUAAUGCUGAUAGUGAUCCUAUAGAUGGGCAUGGGCAAAUAGAGACUGAAAAUAAUUUUGAGAUAUAGGAAGUUCUUAAUGACAACACAAAUGAGCAAAUGGAUAAUAAUGGUGAUAAUUUGGAUACUAAUCCCGUUGAGGAUGUUGAUGAUUCUUUUCAGUCAGAUAUAUUUGAUCCUAGGUAUUGGGAUUCGCUUGAUGCUAAACAAACUGACAUUUUAGCAGAAAAGGGAGCUAAAAGAGACUUAUCAAUUCAAAAAGGUCCUAGGGAUAGAUAUUCUAGAAGGUUUUGUGCACAAUUCUAUACUAGAGUAUUAUCAAAUGGAGAGCAUUGCGAUAGGGAUUGGCUUGUUUAUUCUAAAGAGCUCGAUAGAGUAUUUUGCUUAAAGAGCUCGAUAGAGUAUUUUGCUUCAGUUGUAAAUUAUUCACAAAAGGGAACCGGAAAGGUUAUCUGGCAAAUGAGGGGUAUAGUGAUUGGGCACAUCUUGGCACUAGAAUUAAAGAGCAUGAGACAAGUGCUGAUCAUGUUUUAAAUAUGAUCGCUUGGUAUGAGCUGCGUAGUAGACUGCAAAAGGAUCAAACUAUUGAUAAAACUGCUCAGCAACAACUUGAGAAAGAAAAGGACCAUUGGAAAAAAGUUCUGUUCAUAAUUGUCUCCAUUCUAAAAUUUCUUGCCAAGCAUAAUCUAGCAUUUCGUGGUAGUAACAGCAAACUAUCGGAUACAUCUUUAAUUAUAAGAUACGUGGAUACAUCUUCCGGUCAUGUUUCGAAGAAUCCUUUCUAGGAUUUUUAGAUGUAAACAAUACGACUGGAGAAGGACUCUUUAAUGUGCUACGGAAUGAGCUAAAGCAACUUGAUCUUAAUAUAGAUGAUGUGAGAGGAUAAGGCUAUGAUAAUAGGGCAAAUAUGAAAUGAUGCAACAAGGGAGUAAAGACAAAAUUUUUGGAUGUAAAUCCUAGAGCUUUCUAUUCUGCUUGUGGUUGUCAUAGCCUUAAUCUUAUACUUUGUGACAUGGCCAAGAAUUGUGGUAGAGCUAAAGAUUUUUUUGGGAUCAUCCAACACAUCUACACAACAUUUGCUAAUUCCACUAAGAAAUGGCAGAUUCUCAAACAUAAUAUAAUAGGAUGGACUCUCAAGUCAGUGUCAACUACACGUUGGGAGAGUCGUGUUGAAAGUGUUAAAACUAUUAGAUUUCAAUGUGCAGAUAUCCGGGAGGCUCUACUUCAGGUAUUCAAUAUUUUCAUAUUAUACUAAUAAUGUCAUAAUUCAUUUGACCAUUUCUAAAUCUAAUGAUAUAUUGCUUCUUUUAAUCUCAGGUAUCUGAUAUUGAAAAUGAUGUAAAAAUAAGCAGUGAGGCUAAAGGUCUAGCAAAUAAUGAACUUGGAGAGUACGAAUUUAUAGUGGCAAUAGUAAUUUGGUAUGAAGUAUUAUAUGCCAUUAAUUUAGUAAGUAAAUAGUUGCAAUCAAAGGAUAUGCUUAUUGAUGUUGCUAUUGAGGAAGUGAAGGGGCUGAUUGCGUUCUUCAAAGGGUACAGGGAAACUGGUUUCUUAGAGGUAUUGGAGACAGCAAAAGGAAUUGCACUUGAGAUAGAUAUUGGUAUAGAGUUUCAAAAGAAACGAGAGAUUAAAAGAAAGAGACAUUUUGAUGAGAAUCCAGAUGAUGCAAAUGCUUCCACACAGUCUGCAGAGGAAUCAUUUAGAAUCAACUAUUUUCUAAAUAUCGUUAAUCAAGCUAUUUCCUCACUUACAACGAGAUUUGAACAGUAUCAAGUCUUGAGGGCGCCCUUACAAGAGAUGGUAAAUCUGAUAUUGAUGCUAAUGAAUUGUUUGUGGAGUUAAUGUUUCUUCAAGAUUUCAUUCCAGAAGAAAAUAUGGGUCCUAUUGAGAUUCUAAAGUUUCUGAAGCGACAUGAUUAUUUUCCCAAUGCUAUUAUUGCAUAUAGAGUUCUCUUAACUAUUCCUAGAACUGUUGCAUCAGCAGAACGUAACUUUUCUAAAUUGAAGCUACUGAAGUCUUACUUGCGUUCUACAAUGACACAAGAAAGACUAAAUGAUUUGGCCAUGAUAGCACUUGAGAGUGACAUAUUGGAGAAGAUUGAAUAUGAGUUUAUUAUUGAAAAUUUCAUUUCAAGGAACACCAAAAGAAUGAUGCUCUUCGAAUAAAGAUUAUGCAACAAGAUUAAACAGGUACGGUUGUUAAUGUAUCAUAUUUCUAUGUAAUAUAUUAUAUUAUUAUAUUAUAUAUUAUUUUAUUACUUUAUUUGGCCGUAGCCCUCAUUUUAUAGUUCGAUACAGGAUCUCGGUUUAUGCUGGUCUCGGGUGGGACGAGGGUCUUUUUACAAGUAUACCGGCUCACAUAUGGCAAACCGACGCCCGUGGUACGUGUCCUGCACUGCAUUUCGGAGGAUUCAUUUUGACAUGUUCUUGCAUCGAGGAUUAUAGUAUUCUUAGACGAUUGUUUGGCCCCCAAGAGAGUUUUGCUGCAACUUGUUUUCAUCUAAUCAGUUUCGAAUAUUUGAUUUCUUUGGAUUGAAAUAUUUUUUCUUUCAACAAAUAUCCUAUGCACGUUUUGCAUUCAGAGGAAGAGAAUAAAUGGUACUAUCUCCUGAUCCAAAUUUGAUGGGGUUUUGGGCAGCUAAUUUCAUUCGCUUUUUCUUGCUAUUUGAAACGUCAACUGCUUCGGACCGGAGGCAAUAAUUGGAAAUUACGGUCAUCCAAGAUUUAAAUAAAUCUGCCAGCCGGAAAGAUUACCCCACAACAUUGAACUCAGAAGAAAUCUCAGCCAAUUUGACGGGGAAAACCUCCAAACUCCAGCUUCACCCUAUAGGGCCGCACCGUAACCUAAACCGAUCACAGUUAAUCUGCCUGAGAAAACUUUCGAACCCCAGCUUCACCCUAUAGGUUGCACUGUAACCUAGGCCGACCACGACCAACUGGGUUGGCGACAACUGCAACUACCUUUGGUAGGAGGGACCAAACCAAUCAUAGGUGCCGAUAUAGGAGGAUCCAAACCAACCAUAGGUGCCACAUAGUUAGUGUCUCCCUCGGACUGGGAAUACAAGAGUGUUGGCUCAACAUGUAUUACAACAAACGAAUUAACGAAAGGACAUGGUGCUCCAUGUAAUGAUUCUUUCACCAUGACUUUGCAAGAGCGCAAUGUACAUAUGCCACUUCAGUUUGGAGUAGUAUGUUUGAUCUUCUUCAGUUUGAAGUAUCUCUAUCUUGUCUAUGUGUGGCACGUUGGUGAUUUGUUGUUGGGUUGAUCUCGGCUAAACGGUCAGUAGACCAAGUUCGAGAAGGGGCGACACCCCAUUCCGUUACUCGCGUCCUGAUCAUCCCGUCGCGCAGCGCAACAAUGGGGGGGCGGGGGCCUCACUGUACGUUAAGCCUCUCUACUAAUCCGAUCUGCAAAGAGCGCUGAAGCGAUAAGAAGACUGCCGCCUCUUCACUUCGAGUUGACACCAUCGCACAGACGACGUCAGCCACCUCUACGUCAACUCUAAGUCCACUUCGACCUUCUGCCUCGCGCAUGCUUCAAGCAGGCCUGUGGACUUCAUCUCUUGAGCACAAUGGCUUCCUCCAGUAAAGGUAGAAACCGAGAGCUUAAGUCCCCUAAUCUCCUUUUUUGGGUGUCCUAAUCUAGAACUAGAUCUAAUGACCGUGUCAAUUUUCUAACAUUUGGUACCAAGAGCCAGUCUAGUUCUAAUUAGGAUCCUUAAACCCCUUUGGGUUAAUUGUUGAUGGUUAAAUUAGGGCCAAAUCGGUUUUAAUUAAGGACUAAUUUCUGUUGAUUAGUCAUUAUUAGGCCCAAAUUGUUCUCGGUUCAAUCUAUUCAUACCUCUGUUAGUGUUAAAUGUUUGUAAUUAAUAUAGAUCUAGGUCGAAUUGCCUAAUAAGUUAUCAUCACCCUUGUUACUCUCAAUCCCUUGCAAUCAGUACCUAGUUUAUGCAAUUAGUACCGUGAAGAGGCUAGGAUUUCGGUUAAGAGAUGAAGGAGGGGAAUCGAAUAACAAUAGUCAAAACCGAAGAAAUCCCCAAAUCCUUUCAAAACCCUAACCCUAGAUCAAGAAAUCCCGAAAUUCUCCCCAAAAUCAAAAGCAAAUCCCAAAGUAAGAAAUGGCAUUUGGUCAGGAACCUACCUAAGGGCUGCUGGCUGGGGCUCGUUGUAGCACGGGCGCCGACGUGAGCCAUCUUCUUAUUGAGGAGGACUCGAGCGCGGCACCAGGUGCUGUGCGCGCAUCCACCACUCGCCGCGCUACACCGAUGACGAUGGCCUCGCGUGCACCCUCGUGGCCGUAGGGGUCAUUGUCGCCAGGAAGAAAUGCUCACUGGCCGCCGCCACCCUGGAGACCUUCUCCCGUGACGCGACCGAGCGACAACUCGGGGCAUCCACGGCGGAGCUCUUCGACGGAGUCGCGCGCGGCU